AGGUGCAGGCUGGCCUGGUUGCCUGCAACCGCCACCUGCAAAAACACCUUUCCAAACACCUGCCACAGCCCGCAUUUUACAAAUGGGUCUCAAAUAUACAUCCCGCCAAACCUGGUGGGUUCUGCAGGCCAACCCACCUUCCUUUUCCCUUCCCUUCCCUUCCCUUCCCUUCAUUCUCCCUUCCCUGUACAUCGGGGGCUCGGGGCGACGAGCAGACGCAUCGGCAUCGCCGCCCCCCCUCCCUCCUGCUGUCCGCGCCGCCUCCUCCCUCCCUCCUGCAGUCCGCGCCGCCCCCUCUCACUCCGGCGAUGCAGAGCUCCGCAAAAUCCACGGCGCCGCCCUCCCUCCCCAGCAGCCCGUGCGGCUACCCUUGCAUCUGUGCCCGCGCCGUCCCGUGCGCAACAAGCCGAAGCACGACCGCCUCUGAUUCAUGGUGCCACCAUGCCCUCCGGACCCCGCACAGUUCUUGUUGCGCCAGGCCACCGAAUCUUCUCCUUCCCGGCCUCCCUCUGCCUGCACGGUUCAAGAACAGAUGGAGUUGGCAUCACAAUCUGUACCUGAAGAAGUUGGGGGCUCAGGUGGCGCACCUUUGAUCAGCUCUAAAGCAACGAAGCAUAAAAAGCUUCCUGCUAUGGGAAAUCAGAAAAGGCACAUGGUUGCAAAGCGGGCAGAAACGAGUCAAAAAGAAGCAAUCGGCUAAAAAACGAGUGAAGUCUCUUGCAAUGGGAAAUCAACAAAAGUCUCCUACAAGCUCUCCAUUAAAGAGGCGUGCAGAAAUAAGUAAACAGAGGCCUGCAAAGCAGUUCAAGCCUCCAAUGGUGGGAAACAAACAAGUGUCUCCGCUAGUGACAGGUUCUCCAAUGAUGAGGUUGGUUGUGUCACCUGUGGUGAUGGGGCCAAGGUCGACAUCACGCAGCCCGACAAGUCCUGUAUUGGAACCACAUGCUAGAUGAUGAAAAAGGUGAUUUUGUUGGCACUGCAGUUCGUGAGGUUAGUAUCUUGGGCUCUUGGCUUCUGAAUACAACAUGCACUAAAAUUUUAAAUUUACAUGUUACUACAGGGAAUAAGCCACCCUUGUAUUGGUCCUGUUUUUGCCUGGUUCUGGUUCAGAUUGAACAAGCCAUAAUUCAGAUUAAAAAAAAUAUACCAUUGGCAUGCCUUUUUGCAAUAUACUGCCCUCAUUAACUUGCCUCCCUGUAUUUGGUUUGGUUAAUAUGUUCUUUUAAUGAAAAAAGUUGGCUAUUCAUUAUAGUCAAAUUCUGAUUGUGGACACAACCUUAGUUUCUAGCAUGUUAAAGUAGUAAUUCUGAUCGAAUUAUGAUGUAGCAGUGGUAUUUCCUUCGCUAUGUUAAAGUAGUUCGCUUGUGAUCCAAUUUUCGUAUGAAGUUCAUGUCUCUUUGGUCUUUGCUGCAAGGGAUCACACAAGAAGAGUGUUAUAGAAACAUUCCAUUUUUUCUCUCCUUAAUAAAUGAAUGCGAAGCUAAGAAAGAGUGAUGCCCCAAUUACCAAUUUGUUGCCAACUGAUCUUGUUGUCUGGCUGGUUGAUUGCUUAUAUAAAGUUUCAUAGUGAAUUUAUGUUCUGUAUAGCAGCUAGUGGAUAGCAGGCUAAAACCAAAGCUUAAGUACUUAUGUGGGCUGGCCUUGGCCUUGCUAAUUGAUAUGCAAAGGGGCUAGCAUGUCAACCCUGAACACUUCAGCAGGCUAAUUUGCGGCUGUAGCUGUUGCUUUGAUAUAAUGAGAUGAAAUCAAUCUUACAGAACCCGCAAAUCCUCUGCAACCUAUGCUAAAUGUGGGAUAUUAGGUUGUAAACUUAGAUGCCAUUCUAAUUUGCAAAUUUGGUAUUUGCCAAGAACAUCUGUUACUAACAUGACAUAUUGAUUUGCAUUGCAGGUCUUGUGUUAACAAAGGAUACAUGAAGGAUGAUUACCUGUGCUUUUUUGUUAGGCGUGCAACAAGGACGGUCCAUCCACAGUAGAAUUUUGGAUUCAUCAAGCAUUGUAGACGAUGAAUUAAGGCUGUGUAGACGAUGUCAAUGAUGUUUGUUUUUAGUGUAGAUGGUAACUGAACAUGCGUCAGUGGAGUAUUGCAUAUUUGUUCUUCCCAGCUCUGAGCUCUGAGCUCUGUGUAGAUGAUGUGAAUUAAGGCUACUACUCAACUCACCAUGGUCCCUGAA